rnacentral:rRNA from 1 species
GAGUGGGAUAGCCAUGCGAGUCACAUAGCAAUAUGUGGCAUACGGCUCAGUAACACGUAGUCAACAUGCCCAGGGGACGUGGAUAACCUCGGGAAACUGAGGAUAAACCGCGAUAGGCCAUCACUUCUGGAAUGGGUAAUGACUUAAAUCUAUAUGGCCCCUGGAUUGGACUGCGGCCGAUCAGGCUGUUGGUGAGGUAAUGGCCCACCAAACCUGUAACCGGUACGGGCUCUGAGAGGAGGAGCCCGGAGAUGGGCACUGAGACAAGGGCCCAGGCCCUAUGGGGCGCAGCAGGCGCGAAACCUCUGCAAUAGGCGAAAGCUUGACAGGGUUACUCUGAGUGAUUUCCGUUAAGGAGAUCUUUUGGCACCUCUAAAAAUGGUGCAGAAUAAGGGGUGGGCAAGUCUGGUGUCAGCCGCCGCGGUAAUACCAGCACCCCGAGUGGUCGGGACGUUUACUGGGCCUAAAGCAUCCGUAGCCGGUUCUACAAGUCUUCCGUUAAAUCCACCUGCUUAACAGAUGGGCUGCGGAAGAUACUAUAGAGCUAGGAGGCGGGAGAGGCAAGCGGUACUCGAUGGGUAGGGGUAAAAUCCGUUGAUCCAUUGAAGACCACCAGUGGCGAAGGCGGCUUGCCAGAACGCGCUCGACGGUGAGGGAUGAAAGCUGGGGGAGCAAACCGGAUUAGAUACCCGGGUAGUCCCAGCUGUAAACGAUGCAGACUCGGUGAUGAGUUGGCUUAUUGCUAACUCAGUGCCGCAGGGAAGCCGUUAAGUUUGCCGCCUGGGGAGUACGGUCGCAAGACUGAAACUUAAAGGAAUUGGCGGGGGAGCAUCACAAGGGGUGAAGCCUGCGGUU